rnacentral:rRNA from 1 species
CCUACGGGGCGCAGCAGUGGGGGAUAUUGCACAAUGGGGGAAUCCCUGAUGCAGCGACGCCGCGUGAGUGAAGAAGCAUUUCGGUGUGUAAAGCUCUAUCAGCAGGGAAGAAGAAAUGACGGUACCUGACUAAGAAGCCCCGGCUAACUACGUGCCAGCAGCCGCGGUAAUACGUAGGGGGCAAGCGUUAUCCGGAUUUACUGGGUGUAAAGGGAGCGUAGACGGCAAUGCAAGUCCGAUGUGAAAACCCAGGGCUCAACCGUGGGAGUGCAUUGGAAACUGCCUGACUGGAGAGCUGGAGAGGG